GAUGCACUGCUGCGUUCAGGGCUGACGGCGUUCGGGCAGUCGCACGGCAGCAGCCAGCAUUGAGCAGCGUUAAAAAGCGUGGUUUCUGCUUCUACCAGAGGAAAUAAAAUGGACCAUUAUGAAGUAAUAAAACCCUGCCACUGGGCCAGCCCUAGUCCCUUCUGGCUGACAUCUGCAGCGUCAUUCAAAUAGAAGCAAUGCCUGUGGUGGAUGCAUCUCCAGGCUGAAGCUAGCAGAGCUAUGAAGAUAUGUUAUAGGACUUCACACAGCAUAACAACAUGCUUCAAGUCUCGGAUAGAAAUUCAGUUGUAUUGCUGUAAUAUUCUUUCUAACUGGCAUUCAAAAGUAAUUGAUUUCCUGCUAGAAAUAAAUGCAAUAACAAAU